GCCAAUGUGGAACAGCGGUUUGAGUGCUGGACUAGGACUUCAGGAGACAAAGGUUCAAAUCCUCUCCCAGACA